GAUGAAGAACGUAGCGAAAUGCGAUAAGUAAUGUGAAUUGCAGAAUUCAGUGAAUCAUCGAAUCUUUGAACGCACAUUGCGCCCCUUGGUAUUCCGGGGGGCAUGCCUGUUCGAGCGUCAUUAUCACCCCUCAAGCUCAGCUUGGUGUUGGGGCCUGCCGUCAAGGCAGCCCUUAAAAUCAGUGGCGGCGCCAUCUGGCUCUAAGCGUAGUAAUACUUCUCGCUACAGGGUUCCGGUGGUGUCUUGCCAGAACCCCUCAUUUUUUAUGAUUGACCUCGGAUCAGGUAGGGAUACCCGCUGAACUUAAGCAUAUCAAUAAGCGGAGGA
rnacentral:misc_RNA from 1 species